rnacentral:rRNA from 1 species
GAUGAACGCUGGCGGCGUGCCUAAUACAUGCAAGUCGAGCGAACGGACGAGAAGCUUGCUUCUCUGAUGUUAGCGGCGGACGGGUGAGUAACACGUGGAUAACCUACCUAUAAGACUGGGAUAACUUCGGGAAACCGGAACUAGUACCGGAUGAUAUUUUGAACCGCAUGGUUCAAAAGUGAAAGACGGUCUUGCUGUCACUUAUAGAUGGGUCCGCGCUGCAUUAGCUAGUUGGUAAGGUAACGGCUUACCAAGGCAACGAUGCAUAGCCGACCUGAGAGGGUGAUCGGCCACACUGGAACUGAGACACGGUCCAGACUCCUACGGGAGGCAGCAGUAGGGAAUCUUCCGCAAUGGGCGAAAGCCUGACGGAGCAACGCCGCGUGAGUGAUGAAGGUCUUCGGAUCGUAAAACUCUGUUAUUAGGGAAGAACAUAUGUGUAAGUAACUGUGCACAUCUUGACGGUACCUAAUCAGAAAGCCACGGCUAACUACGUG